rnacentral:rRNA from 1 species
GACGAACGCUGGCGGCGUGCUUAACACAUGCAAGUCGAACGGUGAAAGCGGAGCUUGCUCCGCUGGAUCAGUGGCGAACGGGUGAGUAACACGUGGGCAACCUGCCCCAGACUCUGGGAUAACCCCGGGAAACCGGAGCUAAUACCGGAUAUGACCCUUGUACGCAUGUGCUGGGGGUGGAAAGUUUUUCGGUCUGGGAUGGGCUCGCGGCCUAUCAGCUUGUUGGUGAGGUAGUGGCUCACCAAGGCGACGACGGGUGGCCGGCCUGAGAGGGCGACCGGCCACACUGGGACUGAGACACGGCCCAGACUCCUACGGGAGGCAGCAGUGGGGAAUAUUGCACAAUGGGCGAAAGCCUGAUGCAGCGACGCCGCGUGAGGGAUGACGGCCUUCGGGUUGUAAACCUCUUUCAGCAGGGAAGAAGCGCAAGUGACGGUACCUGCAGAAGAAGCACCGGCUAACUACGUGCCAGCCGCCGCCGUAA